rnacentral:rRNA from 1 species
CCUACGGGAGGCAGCAGUGAGGAAUAUUUGUCAAUGGACGAGAGUCUGAACCAGCCAAGUAGCGUGAAGGAUGACUGCCCUAUGGGUUGUAAACUUCUUUUAUAUGGGAAUAAAAUGUUCCACGUGUGGGUUUUUGUAUGUACCAUAUGAAUAAGGAUCGGCUAACUCCGUGCCAGCAGCCGCGGUAAUACGGAGGAUCCGAGCGUUAUCCGGAUUUAUUGGGUUUAAAGGGAGCGUAGGUGGAUUGUUAAGUCAGUUGUGAAAGUUUGCGGCUGAACCGUAAAAUUGCAGUUGAUACUGGCAGUCUUGAGUACAGUAGAGGUAGGCGGAAUGCGUGGUGUAGCGGUGAAAUGCUUAGAUAUCACGAAGAACUCCGAUUGCGAAGGCAGCUCACUGGACUGCCACUGACACUGAGGCUCGAAAGUGUGGGUAUCAAACAGGAUUAGAUACCCGGGUAGUC